rnacentral:ribozyme from 14 species
UUUAGAGUGAGAGAAGAAUCAGCUGAUGGCAGCGGCGGCGAUGGUGGUGGUGAUGGUGAUAAUGAAGUCAAUAAUUCCUGAUGGUUGUUCAUCAUCGUCGUCGUCGUGGUACUGAAGAAGCGAAUCGUGAGCACCACAAGAACGCAG